rnacentral:rRNA from 1 species
CUCUUGAAAAAUUUCAAGUAAUCUCUGCCCAAUGAAAGGUUUAAAUGGCUGCAGUAUCCUGACUGUGCAAAGGUAGCAUAAUCAUUUGUUUUUUAAUUGGAAACUGGAAUGAAAGAGGCGACGAGAGGUAGGCUUUUUAUUACACAAGUUAACUUGACAUAAAAGUUAAAAGGCUUUUAUAUUUCGGCGGGACGAUAAGACCCUAUAAAACUUUACUAACAACUUAUAUUGUUAUUGAACUAGUAGCAGGUUGUUGGUUAAGCUGGGGCGGCAAAUAUAUAAACAAUAUUAAUAUUAAAUAUUUAAAAUAGAAAAUUAGAACUUAAGUUAAAAUUUAAACAAGUUACUUUAGGGAUAACAGCAUAAUUUUUCUUGAUAGUUCUUAUUGGCAGAAAAGUUUAUGACCUCGAUGUUGAAUUGAGAGUCCUUUAAGGUGCAGCAGCUUUAAAAGGCAGUCUGUUCGACUGUUAAUUUCUC